rnacentral:rRNA from 1 species
AUCUUGCGCAAUGGGGGAAACCCUGACGCAGCGACGCCGCGUGGGUGAGGAAGUCCUUCGGGAUGUAAAGCCCUUUUGUUGGGGACGAGAGUGGACGGUACCCAACGAAUAAGCCCCGGCUAACUACGUGCCAGCAGCCGCGGUAAUACGUAGGGGGCAAGCGUUGUCCGGAUUUACUGGGCGUAAAGUGCGCGUAGGCGUAACGUUAUGUCUGGCCUGAAAGCCCCCGGCUCAACCGGGGAGGGUGGCUGGAAACUGGCGUUCUUGAGGGCGUUAGAGGAGAGUGGAAUUCCUGGUGUAGCGGUGAAAUGCGUAGAUAUCAGGAGGAACACCGAUGGCGAAGGCAGCUCUCUGGAGCGGCCCUGACGCUGAGGCGCGAAAGCGUGGGGAGCGAACGGG